GUGUUCACUUGGGCAGCACAUAAAGUAAAAUUGCAAUGAUGCAGAGAAAAUUAGAAUGGGCCCUGCAAAAGGAUGACACACAAAUUUGUGAAGUUUUCCAUAAUUUU